rnacentral:rRNA from 1 species
AAUAAUAGAUUUGAAAUAUUUAUAAAAAAGAUUUAAAGGGAUAAUCAUAGAAUACAAAAGCUAUUAAUAGUAAAGGUUACUAAUAAAAUAUUAAUAAAUAUUUUUAAAACCUAAGGGAAACCUAAUAAAAAACUAAGUGAACUGAAACAUCUAAGUAACUUAAGGAAAAAAAAUCAACCGAGAUAUCAUAAGUAUUGGUGAGAGAAAAUGAUAAAUAGUCAUAUUAUAAAAAUAAAAAUUUAUAAUAAAAAAGUAUUAUGUAAUAAAAUAUGUAAGAAAAUAGGACAAACUAGUUCUAAGACUAAAUACUAUUAAUAAGCAAAAUAAGUACCGCAAGGGAAAGUAUGAAAAUGGUUAUUCUAUAAGCAGUUAUAGAUAAAAAAAAAGUCAAUAACGUACCUUUUGUAUAAUGGGUCAGCAAGUAAUUAAUAUUAGCAAAAUAAAAAAAUUAAAAAUAAAUUGAAUAUAAAAAAAUUGUGAAAAAGUUAAUAUUAAUUGACCCGAAAGCAAAUGAUCUUAUUAUGACAAGACGGAAAAAAUUAACAAAAAAGUUAAUAAAACGGUCGAACAGGUUGAUGUUGCAAAAUCAUCUGAUUAGUUGUGAUAAGUGGUGAAAGACAAAUCUGAUUUGCAGAUAGCUGGUUUUCUAUGAAAUAUAUGUAAGUAUAGCCUUUAUAAAUAUAAUUAUUAAUAAUAAUAAUAAAAAUUUAUAAUUAUUAAAGAACGGUACAGCUACAAAUAUCAAUAAUUAUGAAAAAAGUUAUUAUUUGGGGAACUAUUGCAGUUUUAUCAAAGAUAUUAGAUCUCGAAAUGUUUAAUUAUAUAGCCACCGCCCCCCCCCCUAUAAGGGGGGGGGGGCGGGGGCCUGUAGAUAAAGAGUCAGACUAUGCGCGAUAAGGUGAAUAGUCUAAAGGGAAACAGCCCAGAUUAAGAUAUAAGGUUCCUAAUUAGAUAAUAAGUGAAAAAAAUAUUAAAAUAUUAUAAUACAAUCAGUUGAUGGGUUUGACAAUAACCAUUCUUUAAUGAACAUGUAACAAUGCACUGAUUUAUAAAUAUAUAUAAUAUUUCAAAUUAUAAUAAUAAUUCUUAAAUAAUUAUUAUUAUAUUAAUAAAUAAUAUACGGAUCUUAAAAAAAAAUAUAAUUAUCUAACCGAAUAUCUAAAUAUUAUUAUAUAAAAUAAAUAUAAUAAUAUGGUAAUAGAACAUCUAAUGAAAAAUAUUAUUAAUUAAGUUAAUUAAUAAUAAAAAAAGUCUAAAAAAAAAUAGUAAUUAGAUAGAGAAUGCUGACAUGAGUAACGAAAAAAAGGUAAAAACCUUUUCACCUAAAGCAUAAGGUUUAACUAUAAAAGUACGGCCCUUAAGUUAAAUAAGAAUAAAAAUAUAUUAACGAUAGGAUAAAUCUAAAUAAAAACAAAUUAACUUAAUUAUUAUUAUAAAAUAAUAAACUAAUAAAGUUCAAGAAAUAAAUUUUAUGAAUACCGUAAUGUAGACCGACUCAGGUAUGCAAGUAGAGAAUAUGAAGGUGAAUUAGAGAAUUAAAGGGAAGGAACUCGGCAAAAAAAGCUCUAACGUUAGUCAAUAAAGAGAAAUAAAAACAAAGUUGUCCAACUGUUUACUAAAAACACCGCACUUUGCAGAAACGAUAAGUUUAAGUAUAAGGUGUGAACUCUGCUCCAUGCUUAAUAUAUAAAUUAAUAAAUUAAAAAGAUGAAUUAAUUAAAGUUAGGUAAAUAGCAGCCUUAUUUUGAGGGUUCUAAGGUAGCGAAAUUCAUUGUCCACUAAUUAUGGUCCUGCAUGAAUGACGUAAUGAUACAACAACUGUCUCCCCUUUAAGCUAAGUGAAAUUGAAAUCGCAGUGAAGAUGCUGUGUACCUAUAGUGUGACGGAAAGACCCUAUGCAGCUUUACUGUAGUUAGAUAGAUCGAAUUAUUAUAUAUCAUAUUCAGAAUAUUAAGUAAUUGUUUAAAUAUUAAUGAGAUACUUAUUAUGAUAUUAUAUAUAAAUAUAAUAUUUAUAUUAUAAUAAUUCUAAUCCUAUAUAAUAUAUUUAAUAGAUAAUUCUUAAAUAUAAUAAUAUAAUUAAUUUCUAUAUUAAUUUCUAUUAUUAUUAGGAGACAAUCUCUAAUUGGUAGUUUUGAUGGGGCGUCAUUUUCAGCAAAAAUAUCUGAAUAAGUCCAUAUACAUAUUAUAAUAUUAUUAAUAAUAAUAAAAAAUAUAAAUUAUAUAUAUUAAUUGUAAAUAGGGAUAUAUUUAUAUUUAUAUAAAUAUAUCUUAGUAAUAGAAUAAAAUAUGUACAGUAAAAUUGUCUGGAAAACAAUAAUAAUAAUAUAAAAAAAUGUUAUAUUAUAUAAUAAAAUGUAUUAAAUUAAUAUAAUGGUAUAACUGUGCAACAAUUGUAACACAAACAAGUGAAACAAGUACGUAAGUAUGGCAUAAUGAACAAAUAACACUGAUUGUAAAGGUUAUUGAUAACGAAUAAAAGUUACGCUAGGGAUAAACUACCCUAUUGUCCCAUUAUAUUGUGAAAUAUAAUUAUCCUUUUCUUCCUUUAUUUUUAUUUUUAUUUUAUAGGAAGAAAAUGGAGUAAAUUGGGUGAAUUGCAAGAAUAUCCUAAUAUUAUUAUAUAAAUAAAAUAAAUAAUAUUGGACAAUUUGCAGCGAAGUUUAUAACAACCUUCAUUAUUUACCCCGGCAAAAUGGUCACAAACACAGAUUAACUGUGUUUGUGCCGGCGGGUAUUUAUUUAAUAAAAAAUAAAUAAAAAUGGUUAUAAAAACGUUCAACGACUAGAUAAUGAGUUAGGUUAACAAUAAUUUAUCCACGAGUGCCCAAUAUCAAAUAAUUAAUAAUUAUUUGAUAAUGACAUAGUCUAAACAAUUUGGUAACAAAUUGAUAAAUACUAAAAUUUAUAUAUAAUAAAAAAAACCCGGCGGUCACAAACACAGCUUUAAUCAGCUGUGUUUGUGCCGUCGGGAAUAUUAAUAUAAAUUUUAUAAAAAUAAAAAUAUUUAUAAAAUAAUAAAUUGAACAGGGUAAUAUAGCGAAAGAGUAGAUAUUGUAAGCUAUGUUUGCCACCUCGAUGUCGACUCUACCUAUCCUCUUGGUUGUAAGUGCUAAGAAGGGUUUGACUGUUCGUCAAUUAAAAGGUAACGUGAGUUGGGUUAAAUACGAUGUAAAUCAGUAUGGUUCCUAUCUACUAUAGGUAAUAUUAUCAACUUAAGACUCAUUCUUAGUACGCAAGGAUCAGAAUGAAUUAACCUAUGGUGUAUCUAUUGAUUAUUAUAUAAUAUAUAUAUAUUUUAUAUAUAUAUAUUAUCUAUAUUAGUUUAUAUUUUAAUAAUAGUCACAGUAGAUAAGCUAAGUUAAUAAAGAAUAAAUAUUGAAUGCAUAUAAAAUAUGAAGUUGCCUUAAGAUGAGAUAAUUAUCUGAUUAUUUUAUACUAAAAU